UACGGAGGGGGCUAGCGUUGUUCGGAAUUACUGGGCGUAAAGGGCGCGUAGGCGGCCAAUCAAGUCAGGCGUGAAAGGCCUGGGCUCAACCCGGGAACUGCGUUUGAUACUGUUUGGCUUGAGUACGGGAGAGGAUGGCGGAAUUCCCAGUGUAGAGGUGAAAUUCGUAGAUAUUCGGAAGAACACCAGUGGCGAAGGCGGCUCACUGGACCGGCAUUGACGCUGAGGUGCGAAAGCGUGGGGAGCAAACAGG
rnacentral:rRNA from 1 species